UUCUAUUUUGUUGGUAAGGAUUGUUUCGCUUUUGAACGCGGCCAUGAAACUUUCAAAUUCAAGCAAUGUUUUGCAUUAUUUCACGCACACUUUCCCACAUUUAGUUCUCAGUACCUUGUUGGCAAACCGAAAUGUCAGUCUGAGAUUCCCAUCUUGUUAAAUAAAUUUUUUUUAUUGUAGCUUAGCAAAAUGACAGCCAACGUUUCAUAUCGUUGUGUGAAAUAAUUCAAGAACGUUGACGUUUUGUGAAUAUGUCAAUCAACUAUGAUCUUAAUCAUUAUUAUAAUAUCAUAGGCAAAAGUGAAUCCAUUAGGGGAAGCUGCUUCCUAGCAAAACCAGCAUCAACUGCUUUAAAUUCCAAGUUUUUGGCAACAGGGAAAGAAAGUGUAAAGUUUAAAUAUUUGGACAGUUAAAAAAUAAGUACCUGGAAAUUAAAAUGAGUGCAAAAGCAAUAAUCAUCGCUACUGGGAUAGUUGUGUCAGCUGUGGCAGCGAUUGCUCAUUUUGUUUUUGAACGACGGAGAUAUUUAACAAACAACCCAAAUGCUACAAGAGAUAAUUUUACAACACAUAUAGAUCCUAUCUGCCCUAUUUGUCAGGAACCUAUGGAAGUGAAUAGUCGAAGUAUUUCCCUAUUGCCUUGUGGGCAUUAUCUACAUGAAGCCUGCUUAAAAGCUAUGAACAGGGCUAGAGGCGUAUAUGAUACAAAUAAGUGCCCAAUAUGCAGAACACCGUUUCCUUUUGAAUAAAAUUUUAUUUUGAUGUACCUUUCUAACUAACAAUUUUAUUAAAUUAGUAUAAAUAAUGUAGAUGUAGAAUAGUAUAUUGUUUUAAUUAUAGAUAAAACAUAUUUUUCCAUCAUAA